rnacentral:rRNA from 1 species
UACAGAGGUCCCAAGCGUUGUUCGGAUUCACUGGGCGUAAAGGGUGCGUAGGUGGUGAGGUAAGUCGGAUGUGAAAUCUCCGAGCUCAACUCGGAAAUGGCAUUGGAAACUACCUUGCUCGAGGGUUGGAGGGGGGACUGGAAUGCUUGGUGUAGCAGUGAAAUGCGUAGAUAUCAAGAGGAACACCAGUGGCGAAGGCGAGUCCCUGGACGAUACCUGACACUGAGGCACGAAAGCCGGGGGAGCAAACAGG